rnacentral:rRNA from 1 species
AGCGAACGCUGGCGGCAAGCCUAACACAUGCAAGUCGAGCGCCCAGCAAUGGGAGCGGCAGACGGGUGAGUAACGCGUGGGGAUCUGCCCAAUGGUACGGAAUAACCCAGGGAAACUUGGAUUAAUACCGUAUGUGCCCUUCGGGGGAAAGAUUUAUCGCCAUUGGAUGAACCCGCGUCGGAUUAGCUAGUUGGUGAGGUAAAGGCUCACCAAGGCGACGAUCCGUAGCUGGUCUGAGAGGAUGAUCAGCCACACUGGGACUGAGACACGGCCCAGACUCCUACGGGAGGCAGCAGUGGGGAAUAUUGGACAAUGGGCGCAAGCCUGAUCCAGCCAUGCCGCGUGAGUGAUGAAGGCCUUAGGGUUGUAAAGCUCUUUCGCCGGUGAAGAUAAUGACGGUAACCGGAGAAGAAGCCCCGGCUAACUUCGUGCCAGCCGCCGCAGUAACAC